AUACGUAGGCGACAAGCGUUAUCCGGAUUUACUGGGCGUAAAGGGCGUGUAGGCGGUCUUGCAAGUCAGAAGUGAAAUUCAUGAGCUCAACUCGGGCGCUGCUUCUGAAACUGCAGGACUAGAGUGCUGGAGGGGAUAGCGGAAUUCCUAGUGGAGCGGUAAAAUGCGCAGAUAUUAGGAAGAACACCGGUGGCGAAGGCGGCUAUCUGGACAGUAACUGACGCUGAGGCGCGAAAGCGUGGGGAGCAAACAGGAUUAGAUACCCUGGUAGUCCACGCUGUAAACGAUGAUUACUAGGUGUUGGGGACCAAAGGUCCUCGGUGCCGCCGCAAACGCAUUAAGUAAUCCACCUGGGGAGUACGUUCGCAAGAAUGAAACUCAAAUGAAUUGACGGGG
rnacentral:rRNA from 1 species